rnacentral:lncRNA from 1 species
CGGGGUUAGGCUGAUGGGGCCGGAGUGGUGAGGUCAGGGCCGAUGGGGUUGGGGCGAUCGUGGGCAUGGCUGAAGCAUGGGCUCAGGGCUGCAGGACAUCGGAGUGCAGGGAGGGGGGAACCGUUGGGAAGGAGGCACCAGAGAGGUGGAGAACCAUCAAGAAGGAGGCACUGGCGAGGAGGGAAAAGCCAUGCGAGUUUAGGGCCAUAGGAUGUCGGAGCACAGGGAGGGGGGAACCGUCGGAAAGGAGGAAAGUGAGGGGAGAAAAGUUGGGAAGGAGGAGGCAU